CCGUGCCUCUCGAAAAAAAAAUAUGUUUUCUAUUUAUUUUUCUGCGAGAGGCACAGUUUGCUUUCACGAGAGGCACAGUUAUGCUAUAGCGAGAGGCCUGGAAAAAACAUGUUUUUAAUUUUUCCCCUUCCACGUGAGGCACGGUUUUGCUUCCGCGAGAGGCACAUUGUGCCUCUCGGAAACAAUAAAAUGGGUUUUCUAUUUUUUUUCUUCUGCGAGAGGCACGGUCUUGCUUCGGCGAGAGGCGUAGUUGUGCUUUCGUGAGAGGGAAGGCCAUGCCUCUUUAGGAAAGGAAAAAUAAACGUGCUCCCGGUUCGGUUUCCAUCUGGUUUUUUUGUGAAAAAAAAAUGUUUUUCAAAAGCUAUCAACAUGGGAUCUAAUUUUGAAGAUAUCGAUGAGAAGAAUCCAACAGUAAAAACGAUUCAAGAUUUGGACGCACGGUUUAAGAGAUAAAACGUUUUAAAUAAAUAGAUGUACGGAAAAAAUGAAAACUGCCAGGUUGCAAAAAGUGGCGCGCCACUUGUCGCAUCCUUAGGAGGUGGAAGUGAUUUUUGAAAGAAGUACCUUUUAAUUAGUGAUUUCGGGGCUGCCCAUGCAGGUUUACGCGAGACAUCCGACUCGCUUAAUGCGAUAAAUAGCCGUUGCGUCCUUCGUUGGCCCUUGUAUUGUGUGCGCACGCGAAGCGGGCCAUCUUUAGCUGGGUUUUGGCAGCACGCCGGCCCGACUCACACUACGCUACAAAGAAAGGGUGGGGCGAGGACUGGAGAGUGAGAUCCGCCGGAGAAGCAGAGGAGGCGGCGGCGGCGGCAACAACCAGCCACCGCGUCUCCGUCGCCGGCCGCCAUCGCCAACUCCGCAAGAGAAGCUGGAAUUACUUGCUGGAGCAAGGGCUGUUGUCUUUGUGUCUAAGCCAUGUCCGGGACCCAAGGUUGGGCAGACCUCCCAGAAGGCCUGCUGCACUCUAUAGUCGCUAGGAUGGGCCUGGGCUCUGCCCCGGAUCUUCUUGCAUUUGCUGCCACCUGCCGUUCUUGGGGUACUGCUUUUGCCGGCUCCAUAGCAACAUUCCCACCUCUCCUUCUCCAACCUGAUGUCUCUUCUUCCCCUCCUAAUGCUAGCCCCUUUAGCAACAACCUGGUGCCGAAUCGUCCAUAUCUUGUCACAGAUAUAGCCAAAGUCAACCAAGGUGCCAACCUUUGCUCUGAAAUUCCUCUACGUCUAGAAUGGUUUUCCUUCAUGGGGGCUUCCUUUGGCCAUCUCAUUUUGUUCAACAAAAAAUCUUGUAUCGUUGUUGAUGUGUCUAGAGGUGUUAGCAUCUCACCUCGACAACUACCACUCGUUGAAUGUGCUGAGCCCAACUAUGGUGCCCUUACUGCUCCUCUCACAUCACCGAACUCUCAUCUCAUUGUCGAGGCUGGACCACAUAAUCUGUUUUGGCGUGUUGGUAGUGACUCGUGGGUGAGAAGUUCCGCUCGUUAUGGACAUAUCAAGCAAAUCGUGGUCUUCAAAGGACGGGUGUUUGGCAUGGAUUCUGAUAGGAAAAUCUUCAAAGUGCACUUGACACCCCAGAUUAGCAUCCAAGAACUACCAGUUAUCGAGUCAAGCGUGAUCAAUAAAUGGAAUCUUUCCAAUGCAUGGCUGGUGGUUUGUGGCGAUAUACUUAAGAGAACAAGUGCAAUACGUGGGGAGCACAGGUGCACCAUAGUGGGGAGCAUAGAGUGUAUUCCUAGGGAACAUAAGUGCACUACAUAAAGCGAAGCACAAAGUGAACUACUACCGAUGUUUUCGUGCCGACAGUACCGUCCAGGGACGAUUGAUUUGUUUGGAGGGGCGAGCACACAUGGAUUAAGACGGUGAGGCGAAAAAGAGAGGAUUUACCCGGGUUCGGGCCUUCUAGGUGGAGGUAGGACCCUAAUCCAGCCUCUAGUGCGUUUAUUGCUCUGCUUUUCAUCGAAGAUCAGAAGGAUCACUGGUGAGCGGUGUUUCCCUUGGGUUACCAUGUUUCCGCCUGGCGGCCGGGAGGUUAAGGAGGUGGUUGUAGGUGGGGAAGUGAAAGAAAUAUGCCCUAGAGGCAAUAAUAAAGUUGUCAUUUAUAUUUCCUUA